GGGAAGAUGCCCCUGACAGGUGGGCCCCACCUGUCAGCAGGUGCAGGUGCGCGCGGGCGGCCGGUCGCGCGCGGUCGGACGGGGCUGGUUCGGCCCAAAAUGGCCGGGCCGGUCCGGUUUAGCCUUUCUUGUUUUUUUCUUUUAGACCUUUUCUUUUUCUGUUUUUCUCAUUUCUUUGAUAUCUGUCGUCGCUCGGUGCUCCGACACCGGGGGCGUGCGGCCACGUCCCCCUUUUAGGUUCGGUAGGGGCGUCUGGGGCAGAGACCCGGUGAGCGCCGGCACGGGCGAUGAGGCCCUACAGGGCCGGCGAGACGAAGAGCUCGGGGUACGCGCUAGCCCAAGAACAGAUGCAGGCACGUUUUUUCCCCAGGUUCGGGCCACCCGGAGGCGUAAACCCCUACGUCCUGCCUGUCUGAACUGAUAUUGAUUACGGAUCAAAGGUUUACAGGUUGCCGGGCAAGCUCCCGAGCUUUCUCUCAAUGGCUAGGCGCUCCUCACCGCUCACCGUUGGCUGCCUACUGGAGCCAGUAAGCAUCUAUCGAGUGAGCUUCGUCCAAACCAACUAACUGGCCAACUGACUAACCUCCGAACUGUCUGACCCGUCAACCCUCUAACCCCCUAGACCGUUGGCAUGGGUCCUCCUUUUAUACACAAGGGGAAGCCACAUGUGCCAAGGUGCAUGUACUACAAGUGUCCAACGGGGAGGCAUGCAACUCUCCCUGGUGAGCUGGUGGCAUGCAUGGGUGCCACCUCCGCUGCUAGGGGCCUAGGACCCUAGGGUAGGAUUGGACAACCACUGUUCCCU
rnacentral:lncRNA from 1 species